UGGGGAAUAUUGGACAAUGGGGGCAACCCUGAUCCAGCCAUGCCGCGUGUGUGAAGAAGGCCUUUUGGUUGUAAAGCACUUUAAGCAGUGAAGAAGACUCCAUGGUUAAUACCCAUGGACGAUGACAUUAGCUGCAGAAUAAGCACCGGCUAACUCUGUGCCAGCAGCCGCGGUAAUACAGAGGGUGCAAGCGUUAAUCGGAAUUACUGGGCGUAAAGCGAGCGUAGGUGGCUUGAUAAGUCAGAUGUGAAAGCCCCGGGCUUAACCUGGGAACGGCAUCUGAUGCUGUUAGGCUAGAGUAGGUGAGAGGAAGGUAGAAUUCCAGGUGUAGCGGUGAAAUGCGUAGAGAUCUGGAGGAAUACCGAUGGCGAAGGCAGCCUUCUGGCAUCAUACUGACACUGAGGUUCGAAAGCGGGGGUAGCAAACA
rnacentral:rRNA from 1 species